rnacentral:pre_miRNA from 1 species
GGACUUGCUGGUCCUCUGUGGGCAUCUUACUAGACAGUGCUGGAUUUGCUGCCUCUACUCUAACACUGUCUGGUAACGAUGUUUAAAGGGUGA